ACAAAGUGACAGGUGGUGCAUGGUCGUCGUCAGCUCGUGUCGUGAGAUGUUGGGUUAAGUCCCGCAACGAGCGCAACCCUUAUUGUUAGUUGCCAGCAUUCAGUUGGGCACUCUAGCGAGACUGCCGGUGACAAACCGGAGGAAGGCGGGGACGACGUCAGAUCAUCAUGCCCCUUAUGACCUGGGCUACACACGUGCUACAAUGGCGUAUACAACGAGUUGCCAACCUGCGAAGGUGAGCUAAUCUCUUAAAGUACGUCUCAGUUCGGACUGCAGUCUGCAACUCGACUGCACGAAGUCGGAAUCGCUAGUAAUCGCGGAUCAGCACGCCGCGGUGAAUACGUUCCCGGGUCUUGUACACACCGCCCGUCACACCAUGGGAGUUUGUAAUGCCCAAAGCC
rnacentral:rRNA from 1 species